AAAUUGAAGAGUUUGAUCAUGGCUCAGAUUGAACGCUGGCGGCAGGCCUAACACAUGCAAGUCGAACGGUAACAGGAAGCAGCUUGCUGCUUCGCUGACGAGUGGCGGACGGGUGAGUAAUGUCUGGGAAACUGCCUGAUGGAGGGGGAUAACUACUGGAAACGGUGGCUAAUACCGCAUAACGUCGCAAGACCAAAGAGGGGGACCUUCGGGCCUCUUGCCAUCAGAUGUGCCCAGAUGGGAUUAGCUGGUUGGUGAGGUAACGGCUCACCAAGGCGACGAUCCCUAGCUGGUCUGAGAGGAUGACCAGCCACACUGGAACUGAGACACGGUCCAGACUCCUACGGGAGGCAGCAGUGGGGAAUAUUGCACAAUGGGCGCAAGCCUGAUGCAGCCAUGCCGCGUGUAUGAAGAAGGCCUUCGGGUUGUAAA
rnacentral:rRNA from 1 species